rnacentral:rRNA from 1 species
ACUCAGUGAAAUUGAAAUCGCUGUGAAGAUGCAGUGUAUCCGCGGCUAGACGGAAAGACCCCGUGAACCUUUACUAUAGCUUUGCACUGGACUUUGAAUUUGCUUGUGUAGGAUAGGUGGGAGGCUUUGAAGUGGGGACGCCAGUUCUCAUGGAGCCAUCCUUGAAAUACCACCCUGGCAACUUUGAGGUUCUAACUCAGGUCCGUUAUCCGGAUCGAGGACAGUGUAUGGUGGGUAGUUUGACUGGGGCGGUCUCCUCCCAAAGAGUAACGGAGGAGUACGAAGGUGCGCUCAGACCGGUCGGAAAUCGGUCGUAGAGUAUAAAGGCAAAAGCGCGCUUGACUGCGAGACAAACACGUC